GGGCCAAGGGUCUGGGGCCGAUAGAGGAGGAAGGGGAGGAGGUUUGCUAGAUCCUUACAAUGGGCCAGAAGGGGGGCAAUGGGAAUACAACGGCCCCAUUCCCAAAGCGGGACAAAAACUCUACAUGAUAAUGAGUGAGGCUGCCCUCCCUCCCUACAAUCCAGGCCUAAACUGAGGAAAUAGGUGAGAGAAACACAGACAGACAAUCAGGCUGGCAGACAGACAAACAUAUAGCUAUGAAGACAGGAACACCCUAAGGAGCAGAUGGAUAGUGAAACAAGAGAGGAACAACCACAGAAAUAUAGAGAUCAGUGGAAGGAGUGAGGCCCCAAUUGAGAAAGAUGGAGAGAGAGCAACUGGUUUCUUUAACUUGCCUCUAUCUCCCUUUCCCAGCCCCCCAUACAGGCGCCCCUGUAGCCCCCGCCUCCUCCUUUUUCUCUUUCCCUCCCCCUCUGAUUAGCCCUUUACAAAUUCCUUAGGGCUGGUGCUGCCCCUAAUCCACUGGCCCAGAAGUUUAUUUCAGCCUGGAAUUUUUUUCCACAAAUGGAUUUUCACUUCUGUUCUGGUUGAAUGAGAAAGGGGCAUAGUGAGGGGAUACACUUAGUCCUCCACUUAUUCCAUCCUGGAAGCCUGGGUUCGAUCGCCAGACUAUAGGAUGUUUCUUCUCAAUUGUAGCUUCCAGAGAGGUAGGAUAAUGAAGUGGAAAGAAAUAUGGCUUGUAAUCAAGGGAGCUGAGUCAAUACCAGCCCUGAUGCUGUAUGAUCCUGGCUUGGACCUUUGGCUUGGAUCUUCUCCUUGGGACUGUUCCUGGGACUUCACUUUUUGGACUUCUUCUUGGAUCCUGCAUCAGUGAACUGGGGGAGUAGCUGGCCUUCCUUUCCUGGAGAAGGGUGAAUUGACAGAAUCCUUGCUGAAGACACCACUGGACUUCUGAUUGAGGAUUAUCAGAAAAUCCACAUGGGGACAAGGGACAUGAUGAAGCCCUGCUGGGUCUGAGCCCCACACUGGAGCAAUGCUUAGGGUGAUAGGCUACAUAAUUCUCUACCUUCUUCUUAACAUUUUCCCACUUUCACUCUUUCCAUCUCUUUGUAAAUAAAGCUACUAAAAGUCAUUUUAACUUAAGUUAUAAUAUCUUUAAAACAGCAAACAUAAUAUUACUUAAGAACUUUCAUAUUUAGCAUAAAACCUAAAAUUUUGAAUUCUUACAUAGGUAAUAAACAUUUAUAUAGCACCUACUACAUGCUAGAUACUUUACAAAAAUUUUCAUUUGAUACUUACAACAACCCUGGGAGGUAGGUAUUAUUAUUAUCCCCUUUUUAUAGUUAAUAAAACUGAGGCAAACAGCAGUUAAGUGACUUGCUUGGGGUCACACAGCUAGUAAUUGUCUAAGGCUGGAUUUGAAUUUAGGUAUUCCUGACUCCAGGCCCACUCUUUAUCUACUGUACCACCUAGCUGCUUAAUUACAGCAGUCCAUUAGAUAUUUGCCACCUACAGAAGCCCAGAAUUGCCCUUGAGCUAACCAAGACACUUCAAUUGGCUAGGACAAAUUCCAUCUUUGGAUCAUCUGGUGAGUUUUCCAGAAGUGGAAGGACCUGAUCCAGUCAAUGAUGAAGGAGGACCAUGAUUGACUUUAGGGUUGAGGGACAGUGGUUGAGUGCUCUAUCCAAUGGCCAGGUGGUCACUGUUCCCAAUUAUCCUCUUCUUUUUUUCCUCCAGCUGUGUACACCUGGGUCUGUUGUUUCCUGGCUGCUUCUCCAUUCAGGGCUCUUCUCUCCCCUCUCCUUAGCCAUCAUGGCCCCUUGUGAGAAUAUUUGUAGCAGGUGGGAAAGGCAUUCCUCUUCUCUCUGUCAGUGAUUCUGGGGCCACUGGAGAGCCUGUCAUUUCCCCAUACCUGCUGAGUUUGUUGAUCUCCUAAUGAGGUUUAAUACUGUGGCUGAGUUUCAAACUCAUGAGAUCACAUCAUUCUGAGUGCUGGCUUGGUGCCUUUUUCUUCAUCUAUUCUAUAUAGACACCUUGGUAACAAUAUCUGUCCUGAAAAAGUUGACCAGUGCAGAGAAGGGCAUAUCUAUUGGGCUACAGCUAGUUCCAUGACCCUAGUCAUGGUCAUCUCAACAGGGCAAAGUAAUUAGAGGACAGAACUAAAAAUUGUACCUAUCUGUUAACCCUUGGCUGAAAUUUUAGGCUGGUUUGGUCAAUAGGCAAGUGUGGUAGGAUAAUAAUAAUGUAACUCAAUAUAACAACAACACAGUAUAGCAUUACCAACAAAUUAUAUAACAAUAGUAUAAACAUAGUAUAACAUCAAAACGGUAAUAAAAACAAAAGAAAAGUAACCACCCACAAUAAUCACCAAUAACAACUAUAGUACCAAUAAUUACUACUUCCACCAAUCACUAACUGCCAACACUAUCACAAUAGUCAUAAGGAUAUCUACCAACCACAGCAUUCACCAACCAUAACAAAACUGUGAUGAAAAGCAUGGAGAACGAGUCUUGGAUUCAGUAAGAUCUGAAUUCAAGUCCUGCCUCUGACAAUUACUGGCUACAAAGCUCUGGGCAAGUCACUUAACCUUUCAAUGCCUCCAGCAGUGCUAAGACUAUAAGGAACAGAUGCCCUACUUCUCUACACUGUUAUAUAGUUGUUUCCUAACUGGGAGCUCCUUGCAUCAAUAAAAUCACAGGUCUCCCCCACAAGUAAAACAAGAUAAAAUUGCUGUAGCAACUCACAUUUAUACAAGCACUUCAGUAGAAAGAGGUCUAGACUGAGCCAGUAGAUCUAGCUACAUAAUAAGAAUUUACAUGAUGCUUUAGGAUUUGCAAAGCACUUUAAGUAUAUUAUCCUAGUUGAUCCUAUAAAAAUCCUGUGAAGUAGGCAGUUACUGUUGUUAUUAUUUCCAUUUAUAGAGGUGAAAACUGAAACACUGACAGGUUGUGAAUUGCCCAAGGUCGUGUAGCCAACAAGUGUCUGAGAUGGGAUUUGAACCAAAGUGUUCCUGGGUACAAAUGCAGAAUUUUAUGUACAAUAUCAGGUUGCUUACACAAGUAAACUGGAUCAAACCACCUUUCUAAGCCCUUUGAUAAGUAAGAAGUAACAUACAAAUGAAAGGAAUGAAUGUGAGUAUAUAUUGAGUGCUGUAUGUGUAAAAGGCACCAUACUGUAAGAAGUGAUGUGGAAUAAUGCCAAGGACAUGGAUGUUGAAGUAAAAAAAAUCUGGGCUCAAAUCCUAACUCAAAACUAACUCUCUGGGUAACCCUAGGAAAUUCUCUUAACCUCUUUAUUUUCAGGACUGUUUUAAGGAACAUGUUUUGUACAAUUUAAAAUAUUUGGCCUUAGUGGUUUGAUAGAGAAAAUAUACACUUCACUAUGGGCCCCCCUCUCUUUGCUACCAUAAUUAUAUGAUGAUUUGUAUUGUACUAAGAGAGUGGAUGUAUCAGAGAGUCCUGUACUAGGUAGGAUCAGGCGACUCAGUUUUGUCUUUAGCUUUUGGUUACAGUAAACAAAGUACUUCUUUUCUCUGUCAAAUGAGGAAGUUAGACUAGAUCAGUAGUCUCUAAGUGUCUGAUUGUUCAUUCCAAUCAGUAAAACAAAAAUGGAGAAUGAAUGGCAAUAUGUGUAUAUUUACUUAUUUAUAAAUUACAGGCAUGUGCCACUGCAACAAUAAUUUUGUACAUUGUAAAACUUACAUAAAAUAGUCAUCAAAAGAUGAAUAAAAAUGCAAUAAUAUUGUAUACUAUCAGCAAUUGAAAGCCACUGGAUUUUAUUGAACCAAAGGAUGAUAUGAUCAGUCUUGCACUUUUGGAAAAUCACUUUGGAAGCUGUGUGGAGGUUGAAUUAGAGAGGAGAGAGACCAAGUAGGAAACUAUUGCAGUAGUCCAGGCAAGAUUUGAUGUGAGCCUGAAUUAGGAGGAUGGUUAUUUUUCUGAAGAAGCAGAAAUGACAUAAUUUGGCGACUGAUAUGUGUUGUGAGGGUGAGGAAGGAGUUGAAUAUAACAGUAAGGUAGUAAACCUGUAUGAUUGAAUGGAUGGUGGAGCCCUUAAUAGAAAUCAGAAAGUUUGGAAAAGGAUGGCUUUGGUGAGAGAGAUAAUGUAAGAUCUUUGAUGAAAAUCACAACACAUCCUUGUCUGUUCAUCCUAUGUCAUUCACUCUACCCUACCUAAAACAAAAAAGAAAAAGGGCAAUUCUACCAAGAAAGUGGAUGUAUCUUCCCAUUCACUGACCCAGAGUUCAAAGCCUUUCUCUUUGAGGGGUGCCCACUGUAGCCACAAAGUAACCUAGAUAGUAGGGAUGGGUAUUCUGGGUUGGGGAUGUCCCCAAAGGUACCUGUUGUUAUAAAUCCUCAGGCAUCACUUAGGUCCUAAGCUUUCCUGAUAGACCAACUCUAACUCAGAAGUAGGAAGCUUAGGGUCUUGAAUAGCACAAGGGGUGGAGAGAAUAGGGAAGUAUUAUUGGAUGCAGGGAAAUGUCUUUUGAAGACAAGACCACAUUGAGCUCUUUUAGGGAGAAUGUAAUACAAUUGGUCUCCUGACAAAUUUCUUUUUUAUUUUAUUUUCUUUAUUUUUUUUCCAGUUACAUGCAGAAAUUUUUUGACAAAAGUUUCUGGCAUUUUAGUAUUCAUAUUUCCUCCAUAUUUCCCUUCUACCCACCCCACUCCGAGGUGAUAAAUAGCCUGAUAUAGGUUAUGCUUGGACUUUCAUGCAAUACAUGUUUCCAUAUUGCUCAUGCCAUGACAGAAGACAUAUCAUACAUUCAAUAAAGCACUCCUGAAGGAAAUAAA